CGCCCUACUACGUGCCAGCAGCCGCGGUAAUACGUAGGUGGCAAGCGUUGUCCGGAAUUAUUGGGCGUAAAGCGCGCGCAGGCGGAUCAGUCAGUCUGUCUUAAAAGUUCGGGGCUUAACCCCGUGAUGGGAUGGAAACUGCUGAUCUAGAGUAUCGGAGAGGAAAGUGGAAUUCCUAGUGUAGCGGUGAAAUGCGUAGAUAUUAGGAAGAACACCAGUGGCGAAGGCGACUUUCUGGACGAAAACUGACGCUGAGGCGCGAAAGCCAGGGGAGCGAACGGGAUUAGAUACCCCGGUAGUCCUGGCCGUAAACGAUGGGUACUAGGUGUAGGAGGUAUCGACCCCUUCUGUGCCGGAGUUAACGCAAUAAGUACCCCGCCUGGGGAGUACGACCGCAAGGUUGAAACUCAAAGGAAUUGACGGGGGCCCGCACAAGCGGUGGAGUAUGUGGUUUAAUUCGACGCAACGCGAAGAACCUUACCAGGUCUUGACAUUGAUGGACAGAACUAGAGAUAG
rnacentral:rRNA from 1 species